rnacentral:rRNA from 1 species
GUAGGUGGCAAGCGUUGUCCGGAAUUAUUGGGCGUAAAGCGCGCGCAGGCGGUCCUUUAAGUCUGAUGUGAAAGCCCACGGCUCAACUGUGGAGGGUCAUUGGAAACUGGGGGACUUGAGUACAGAAGAGGAAAGCGGAAUUCCACGUGUAGCGGUGAAAUGCGUAGAGAUGUGGAGGAACACCAGUGGCGAAGGCGGCUUUCUGGUCUGUAACUGACGCUGAGGCGCGAAAGCGUGGGGAGCAAACAGGGAUUAGAUACCCUGGUAGUCCACGCCGUAAACGAUGAGUGCUAAGUGUUAGGGGGUUUCCGCCCCCUUAGUGCUGCAGCUAACGCAUUAAGCACUCCGCCUGGGGAGUACGGCCGCAAGGCUG